rnacentral:rRNA from 1 species
GACGAACGCUGGCGGCGUGCUUAACACAUGCAAGUCGAACGGAAAGGCCCUGCUUUUGUGGGGUGCUCGAGUGGCGAACGGGUGUGUAACACGUGAGUAACCUGCCCUUGACUUUGGGAUAACUUCAGGAAACUGGGGCUAAUACCGGAUAGGAGCUCCUGCUGCAUGGGGGGGGUUGGAAAGUUUCGGCGGUGGGGGAUGGACUCGCGGCUUACCAGCUUGUGGGUGGGGUAGUGGCUUACCAGGGCUUUGACGGGUAGCCGGCCUGGGAGGGUGACCGGCCACAUUGGGACUGCGGUACGGCCCAGACUCCUACGGGAGGCAGCAGUGGGGAAUAUUGCACAGUGGGCGGACGCCUGAUGCGGCGACGCCGCGUGCGGGAUGACGGCCUUCGGGUUGUAAACCGCUUUCGCCUGUGACGAAGCGUGAGUGACGGUAAUGGGUAAAGAAGCACCGGCUAACUACGUG